rnacentral:rRNA from 1 species
UACGUAGGGAGCAAGCGUUGUCCGGAAUCAUUGGGCGUAAAGCGCGCGUAGGUGGCUCUAUAAGUCCGUUGUGAAAGUCAAAGGCUCAACCUUUGAAAGCCGAUGGAUACUGUAGAGCUAGAGUACGGAAGAGGCGAGUGGAAUUCCUGGUGUAGCGGUGGAAUGCGCAGAUAUCAGGAGGAACACCAAUAGCGAAGGCAGCUCGCUGGGACGUUACUGACACUAAGGCGCGAAAGCGUGGGGAGCGAACAGG